rnacentral:rRNA from 1 species
AGCGAACGCUGGCGGCAGGCCUAACACAUGCAAGUCGAACGAACUCUUCGGAGUUAGUGGCGGCCGGGUGAGUAACACGUUGGAACGUGCCUUUUGGUUCGGCAUAACUCAGGGAAACUUGUUCUAAUACCGAAUGUGCCCUUCGGGGGUAAGAUUUAUCGCCAUUAGAGCGGCCCGCGUCUGAUUAGCUAGUUGGUGAGGUAACGGCUCACCAAGGCGACGAUCAGUAGCUGGUCUGAGAGGAUGACCAGCCACACUGGGACUGAGACACGGCCCAGACUCCUACGGGAGGCAGCAGUGGGGAAUCGUGCGCAAUGGGCGAAAGCCUGACGCAGCCAUGCCGCGUGAAUGAUGAAGGUCUGAGGAUGGGAAAAUUCUUUCACCGGGGACGAUAAUGACGGGACCCGGAGAAGAAGCCCCGGCUAACUUCGUG